rnacentral:lncRNA from 1 species
CAUGAUUUACAAAUAAAGGAGAUCAAAUAAGGUAUAAACACCUUAAUCCUCAUAUAAAGACAUGAUACAUGUCAACGAAAUUUAUAUGAAACUGUUGCAUGAGUCAAAGUAUACAUAUGCAUGCUUAGGAUCCUUUGUUAAUAUCUCACAGCACAAAUCUGUGUGCCUGACAUAAGCCACGUGUUAGUGUCUAAGCUCACAUAGCCCAAAGUAACAUGGGUAAUCAAACUCUAGAAGGAUGGAUCCUUAUUCAAGCAUUAAUUAUUUUACAAUCAAUGAUCAUUAUCCAAUAAUCAAUAUUCACUCAUAGUGUCUAUAAUGCUAAAAUUCUCAACUUCUUCCAACAAUCAGCUCUUCGCUCAUGCAUUGCAAGAAACAAUAUAAUAAAGAACCACAUGACAUAACAAUAAGAAUGUGUAUAAAAGCUCAUAUGGCUAAAAGUUUACUAUGGCUAAUCAUGUAAUAAUUUUAUCACAAUGACUCAAUAAGCUUUGUCAACAUGCAUAAGUCUAAUUAUAUUAUUUAACAUAAGUAAAUUAAGCCACAUAACCACCAAAUUAUAGAGCAACUAAGGCAAGAGUAUGACUACGGAUAAAUAAUAAAGCUCAAUGUGACAACAUAAACCUAUAUGCCUAAUUUGACAAGUCAUAACCUUAAGCAUGCUUCAAAAUCAUAAUUUUGAAUCAUCAUGUAGUCAUAGAAUCAGUUGAAAAAUGGAGAAUGACUUCACAUAAUCCAACAAGAUAUGACUUAAGCCAACACUAUAGAUAAAGUCAUAAUCUAUUUAUAUGUAUACGCUCAUCACCUCCUUGCAUAUAUAUGACUUUUAAAUCAAGCAAUAAGUAGCAAAUAAAUCAGCUAUGAGAAGAAUUUCCUCUUAUAAGGAUAUAUAAGUGUCUUACCUCCACUUAGUAAGCUUCAAUCUUUCAAAAUAGUUUUUUCUCUCAAAUUCACCUUCAAAAAAUUUGAAUCUAGUCUAAUAUAAUUUAAUAAUGUCAAAUAAAGCUAUAGGAAUUAUUACACCUCAUUUUUCCUAAACCUGAAAGGGUAUACAUAGGGAGUUUUUUCAAUUUAAGUGAUAUCAUUCGAAAUGAGAUUAUUUAUUCAAUUCAGAGUCGUCACUUGGGAUAGUUUGUUUUCUGAUGUCCCAAGUCAUUGGUUUAUCUUAAAUCCCAAAUAGAGGAAAGUUCGACUUUCCAUUUAAGUCUGCGAACCAGAAAUUCUGAAUAAGCAAUUUUGUUACCCGGGAGAAGGUGUUAGGCACCCCUCGGAUUCCGUGGUUCUAGCAUGGUCGCUUAAACUAUCAUAUUUGGUUAUUACCUGAUUGAAAUACAUGUUCUAGCCUACAGUAUAAUUUUAACUUAUUAAAUCACUUUUAAUUAUUUUUAAAGAAGAUUUCAACGUAAUCUAAAACGCGUCUUUGGACCACGCCACAUGAAAUGCACCCGCAGUUCAAGACACGUUUUAUUUAACAUUGUUAAGAUUUGGAUUUGGGUCACAUGAAAUACACACCCGAAUUUAGGAAAGUAACCUUUUUAAAAAUAGCGCGCCUAAAUCAACUACGCACUUCAAUUUUGCAAGGGCCAUGAAAAAUUCAAACUAAAUAGCAUACCCUGAUUUCUAGAGGGUUAAAAGUAAUUAAGUGAGGGCCAAAGGUUUUAAGAUUUUAUUUGACAUGAUAUAUCUUAAAUUAUUUCAAAGAAUUGCACUCAACUAAAGUAAACUACGCGGGUAAUGGUGGCAAACCUUUAUUAUAUGGCUAGCUGGUACUAAUUACCCAACGCUAGUUCAACUAAAAAAGGGUCACCUUAGACUUGAUAUAAGUGAACAAAUAAUGCAAAUCUAAGACUUGAAUAAAUAAAAUCUGUUUCUUCUUUGGUGUUAAAAGGAAACAGCCAACAAAAUAGCCUUUGACAUGUACAAUAGGUUAAUACUACAGAAAAAAAACAAAACAAUAAUUUAAAUACUCAUCAAAUAGUAAUGAAGUAUGAUGCUGACAGAAAGAUUCUCACCAAUUAUCUACAAUAAGAAAAUCGUUGAGCAAACGAAUUUACCCGAAAAUCACUGAUUGCUUAAAUGUCAAAUAAAGACCAAAAGAACAAAGAAGAAGCUCAGUAGAUCGGCAGCACGAUGGCAAACAGCAGCAACAGAUUCAGCGACCAAAAAUACUACUUCAACUCAAAUGUCACUCGAAAUUCCAGAAAAUUAAAGUAAAGAGUAGAAAUUCGAAUAAUUUUUUUUACAUAUGGAUUUCCGUGGUGUUUGAUUUCUUUUGUAGAUAGAAGAAGAAGAAGUUUUGUUGGAGAAAACUCUGAGCCAAGAAAUGAAAAUAAGAGCCUGAUUUUUGCUUUUAGGUUGGUAGUUGACUGAGGUUGGGAAAAAUAAGGUUGUUCAUCUCCACAUGAAAGUGAAGAAAAAGCCAAAAUGGUAGGGAGUCCGUCAUUUUUGUUCCCUUAUAUUAUUCUUCGGUUCAAGACGUAGGAAUGCGCCGUUGCUUCUAUAUUUUUGCUAAGGGUCCUGAAUGCCCUCUCU